rnacentral:rRNA from 1 species
AUGGAAAGAGCACUUGAGAUGAUGCUGGUCGUGGCCAUUGUGCUGGCCACCACUACGUCCGGGGCGCUCGCCAUGGACAUCAAGGACAAGGACCUGGCGUCGGAGGAUUCCUUGUGGGCGCUGUAUGAGCGUUGGUGCGAGCACUACAGGGUGGCACGCGACCUCAACGACAAGACCCGGCGCUUCAACGUGUUCAAGGAGAAUGCACACAUGAUCCACAAGUUCAACCAAGGUGACGCGCCCUACAAGCUGAGCCUCAACCUCUUCGGCGACAUGACCGAUGAAGAGGUCCAUCGCGCGUAUGGUCACUGCUCCAACAUCAAGUCUGAUAGCCGUAAGCAUCAGCGACAGGGCCAAUUCACAAAUGACGCCAUCAACGCCCGCAAGGGCCUCCCGGCAUCCGUGGAUUGGCGUAGACGCCCGUCCGCGGUGACGAACGUGAAGCUACAGGGAGUGCAUUGCGGUUCCUGCUGGGCCUUCGUGGCAACGGCGGCGGUGGAGGGCAUCAACUCCAUCAGGACUCGGAACCUGACGUCGUUGUCCACGCAACAACUCGUGGACUGCGACAAGGGGAACGGGGGGUGUAAAGGAGGAUUCGCGAAGUUAGCCUUCAAGUACAUAAUGCAAUCGGGCGGCAUCGAAACAGAUGCUAAGUACCCGUAUGUUGGCCAUCAGGAUGGCCACUGCUCGGUGCCCAAGCCAAACCGGAACACGGUCGUCACCAUCGAUGGCUACAAACAGGUGGCGCCUAAUGAGGUGGUGGCGUUGGAGCAGGCGGUGGCGGCCCAACCCGUGGUGGUCGGAGUUGAUUCAAACUCGACGGCCUUCCAACGCUAUGGGCGAGGCGUCUUCGUGGGGCCAUGCGGGACAAACCUGGACCACGAAAUGACGGUGGUGGGCUAUGGCACCACGGAUAAGCAUGAGUAUAAGACUCCCAUAAAAUAUUGGAUCGUGAAAAACUCAUGGGGGGCAGACUGGGGUGAAAACGGCUACAUCCGCAUAGCGCGAUAUGUGAGAGGUCAGCCCAAGGAAGGCAUCUGUGGCAUCCUCAUGGACGCGUCAUACCCAGUGAAAUUUAGUAGGAAAGGUAGAAAUGAUAUCAUGAAGAGAAAUUAG